rnacentral:misc_RNA from 1 species
AAGUCGUAACAAGGUUUCCGUAGGUGAACCUGCGGAAGGAUCAUUAUCGAAUUUCUGGGGCCGAAAGGCCUCGAAUUCCACACUGUGUUUUAAGCGCCUUCUGGUUGAUUCGAGAAGGAUGUGAAAACCUGAUUCAUACCUGGUAUGAAGAUUUUUUACAAAACAAAAAUUUUAAAACUUUCAACAACGGAUCUCUUGGUUCUGGCAUCGAUGAAGAACGCAGCAGC